rnacentral:lncRNA from 1 species
GGGAGGCGGAAAAUUAGGUGGGCAGAUGAGAUUAUGAAGUUUGCGGGGAUAAUGUGGCAGCAGAAAGCACAGGACCGGGUUGGUUGGCGGAACAUGGGAGAGGCCUCUGCCCUGCAGUGGACGAAGUCAGGCUGAUAAUGACGAUGAUGAUGAUGAUUGUGUUUU